rnacentral:rRNA from 1 species
UACAGAGGGGGCAAGCGUUGUUCGGAAUUACUGGGCGUAAAGGGCGCGUAGGCGGCCUGUUAAGUCGAACGUGAAAUCCCCGGGCUCAACCCGGGAACUGCGUCCGAUACUGGCAGGCUUGAAUCCGGGAGAGGGAUGCGGAAUUCCAGGUGUAGCGGUGAAAUGCGUAGAUAUCUGGAGGAACACCGGUGGCGAAGGCGGCAUCCUGGGACCGGCAUUGACGCUGAGGCGCGAAAGCCAGGGGGAGCAAACGGG